rnacentral:lncRNA from 1 species
UGUUCAUUUAAAAUGCCAAUCGAGAAGUUUUUUUCAGAUCCCAUCCUUAACAGCACAUCAAGAUCUCUUGUUGUGAAUAAUAAUUUACAUCCUCUGUGCUCAACUCCAAAAGGAAUGCCAAUAGUCCCCAAAUCAAGAGGUUUCCAGAUGUUAUCGAGAAUCACAAGGAUCUUCUUCUCAUUCUUCAAUCUUUCAUAUAGUCUACUAGCUCUUCUAGACUCAGCUUCCUCAGACAACUCUAGGCCUAACGUUUCCGCAAUUUCCUCUUGGAUCUUUCUUAUGUCUGGACAUUGGGUAACCUCCGAAAAAACCACCAUAUCGUAAAGCUUGUCUUCAAUGGCUCGCCUUGCAAACUCCUUCACCAGUGUCGUCUUUCCAAUGCCGCCCAUGCCGUACAGCCCAAUGAUGCUGACAUCAACAUCGAUCAAUGCAUUUUGUAUGGCCUUCAAAGUAGAAAGUCUUGAUUCGAAGGCUUCGUAGCCUUUGUGAGACUUGAGCCAUAUAUCCUCCGGAAUGGUACGGUAGGAAAUUCCAUCAACAAAUCUCCCAGCUUCUUCUCGGAGUUUAACAAUGGCCUUCACCUUUGUGUCUGCUUUCUUGCUAAGCUGAUAGCGGGUCUUCAAAUUAGGACACAAGCCCAUGAGACAUCGUUUAUUUGUUGUCUUCUCAUCAUCAAUGAAUUUGGCUGCCUGCUCAAUGAUGAUGUUCGCACUAACCAGCCACUUCUCAACCCUCUCUUCAAUAUUUUCCCCUUUUCUUUCAGCCUCAGAAACCCUGUGCUGAAUGCUUCUCCUUUCAUCCUUGAGCUUGUCUAUUUCUGCCUCGAGUUUCUCAACGUUGGCUUUAUAGUUACGCAAAUAACCAAGUCGGCGUUCUGUUGGAGGAGCCAAGCAUUUAACAAAUUCUAAAACAAUAGUAACAAUGCUUUCCACCAUCCCGGAUCCCUUUUCUUUUUUUCGAAGUUUCUGACAAGAAAAUAAACAAUGAGCGAAACACAGAGAGAGUGAGGAGAAAAAGAAAAAGAAACGCAAAGAUGGACAGUUUAUCUGGUUGUGGAAGCGGAGAAAUGAAAGAAAUCGUAAUAGCUGUUAUGGAUCUGCUGAGAAGAUGGAAACAAGGAAAAGGUUUCUAGUUCAACAACUGGAUUGCGAGCGGAGAGACUAAUUAACAAAGACUGGAGAUUACAACAAAGCAGAUGCCAAGAGAAAAGUUGAUCCAGUGAAAUUCAAGAGAGUUGACAGCAAAAGGGAGCAAAGAUUAAUAACAAAACAGCAGUGACUACAAUGAACAAAAGCAUAUGCGUUUCUUGAUUGAGAAUGAGUGCAAAGAAUGAUCCUUAAUCAAUAAAAUAUCUAACAAUAUCUUCACCGAAAGUUUGAGACAUGUGAUCCUUAUUCCACUGCGUCAAUUACACUCCAGACCAAUGCUGCCGUCAUUAUCGAACGGUCGAUAUCCAACACUUGCACGAAGAUUCCAAGAAGUCGCGUGGCUGCCGACUUUUAGAUGCAAAGCCUCAUUGUGUCGAUGUUACACGAAAGAGAGCAGUCCGGGUAAUUGCCAAAACUUAGAACUAAACAGUAGCUUAGUCAGAAAAUCAAACGCCAGUACCGGUAAAAUGACCGAUAAAAAUAUAAAGAAAUAAAAAUUUUAAAGUUUUACUUCAUUGCUUUUUUAAUCUUAUUACUAUUUCUCCUUGCACUUCUAAAGAAACCAAAGCUUUAAAAGAAAUCAGCCAAAUCACGAAGAUUGAAAAGUAAAUCUAUGGUUUUAGAUUUUUAUUUUAUUUUUUUAGAUAAUAGAUAUUGUUGAGUAAUGAAAAGUAUCAGCUCAGCUAUCCCCUCUUCCCUCACCCUGGGGCGAAUCUCCCCAGAUGAAUGUCACGAGCAGAUUCUUGGUAAUACAUCUUGUACGGGGCAUAUGCCGACUAGAAGUGAGUACCGACCACAUGUACAUACCGACCACAUACUCAUUAUUCAAAGAAAGAGGACACGAUCUCACAAACUCACGACAGUUUUGUCAUGCCCCAAACCGUUGGGGAGAACAUGACGCCCCACGUUUACCCACGAUUCGGUGGUUGGAGACCCAUGAAGGUCCGUCAUCACCCGAAAAUGAGGGGCAUGAAUAAUACUCAGAAAACAUGGGAUGAUUGCCAAUAAAAGGCCAAGAAAUAGAUGAAAAAGGGGAGACACAAAUUGAGAGUAAAACUCUGUCAAAUUAUAAUCAGGAAUUCAUAUAUCCAAAUCCUUGAUACAUUUGGUAUUGAGAAUAUUGCAACUAAUAUGUACAACACAAAUCAUUCACUUUUCUCGUAAACACCUUGUACUAACUUAAGUAUCGAAGGGUUUAUGCCCAAAAAACCACCGGCGUCUCUGAUUUGUUUCUGUGAACGCAGGCCUGGAAGGAAGAAGACAGGUGAUUUGGGUCCCAGAAGCUCGGGAAAUUGCUGAAGCUAAUGGAUCGCAGCCUCUGUUCCUUUUUCAAUACAAGCAUUGGUGAACCAAUCUGGUCGGUCCAAAGGCGAUCAAAUUUCAGCAUCAACAGAUAUUAUUUUGGUGAAUUUUUUAAUAUUAGAAUAAUGUUAGGAAUUCCAAUAGUAAAAUUCUAACUUGAGACCCAAUUGUUAUUGAAAUACUAGCUAGGCAACCCAAGAGGGGGGGUGAAUUGGAAUUUUAAAAAUUAUCCUAAGCAAACCACACAACAAUUCAAUCUAAUGCCUUAAUCAAUUCGAAAACAAUAAAUUCAAUGAAACACAAUAUUAAAAGAGUAAGGAAAGAGAAAACGAACACAAGGAUUUUUACAUGGUUCGGCUAUCCCCGCCUACGUCCACGCCUCCAAGCUCACCCGGCUUGAGGAUUUCACUAUCCAAGCCUCCCAAUGCUUCAAAUGUUUACAAUUGACUUCCAAGGUGUCAAUGAACCUUUACAACAAGAGAUUAUAUCCCCAAUCUCUUCACCCCAAGUCCAAGUGUUUCUCACACUUGUACACUCACAAAUUGAUGAGAAAUGAUAAAUACAAUAAUAAAUCUCUCUUUAAGAGUGGAUAUACAAAUUGAAGAACAAAGAUGAUUUAAUGAAUGAUGAUUCACGAAGUUGAAGCUCAAUAUAUGUUGUGUGCACUUGUUCUUGCUUGCUUGGAUUCCCAAAAAUGAAUUGGUUUUGAGUUUAUAUAGUUUGAACUCAAAAACUAGCCGUUACUCACAUUCCAGGCGUAUCCGGUUUGCCGUUUUAUGGAAUCCGGUAAGCCGGAUUUAUGUUACCGUUAAGGCAAAAUUUUGAAUUUUGCCUAACCGGUUUGCCGGUUACGAAAUCCGGUAUGUCGUUUUCGUUCUGGAGGCUUACUGCCCCGAAUUCGGAUUUUUGGUUUUUAGAAUCCGGUAAGCCGUUUUCGUUCUGGUGCUUACUGCCCCGUAUCCGGCUUGCCGUUUAUCAGUAUCCGGUAAGCCGCUUGCUACAGUAACUACUACAGUAAAAUAUUUUCCGAAAUUUACAGUUUGACCCCAAAUCUUUAUAAAACUAUAGUAUGGCCCAAAACGUUAUGAAACUUUGCAAAUAAGUCCAAUUUCAGAAUUUCUAAAUAAUGCUUUGUUAAUCCCAAAACUUUCUGAAAUUAUGAUAUUGCCAAAGAUGCUAUGACACUUUUCAAAUAAGUCCUUUUACCAAAAUUUCAAGCAAUACUUGUUUAUAUCAAAGUUUUCAAAAUUCUUUCAAUUAAACCAUAAACUUUGAAAAACAACCAAUUUCAUAAAAUCAUUUUUCCAUUAAGUAUGAAACAUUUAUAAUGUGAAAAUAAUUAUUUAUUUAAAAAGAAUAAAAACAAUCAAUUUCAUAAAAUCAUUUUUCCAUUAAAUAUAAAACAUUUAUAAUGUGAAAAUAAUGAUUUAUUUAAAAAGAAUAAAAACAAUUUGAGCUUAAAAGAUUAAUCAUUCUUAAUCUUGUUUGUUAUCAUCAAAAUCAAUAUUAUGGAAACAUAUAUGUUAACAGUUAUGUGUUAUUUUUUUAUUGAAUAAUGAAUUGCACAACUAAUAAAAUUUAUAUUUCCAUCAUCUAAUAAAUGACUACCAUAUCAGUUGGGACUCAAUUAUUAGGAUCCUUAACAUUGCUCUUAGUAUUAAAUUGGACAUCUUAGAUAAAUCGGAUUAAAAAUCAAAUUAGUUUUUAGGCUUUUAUUCAACAUCUCUUUUUUUUUUUUGGUCUAUUGGAAGUGAACGAAAUAAAAAUACAACAGGGUCAACGACUGGGCAAUUGGUAGUCAAGUAGAAGCAAAUAAAGGCUAAAUGGGAAAGAGAAAUGAUAUUUGUGCAAAACAAGGAGAAAAUCAGUGUAACAGAAGAGAAUCAAAGUGCUUUUGAGAUCAAAAAUUGAAACAAGAAAAGGGUCGCUUGAUCCAAUGAAAAUGCAAAGAGCUGAUGGCAAAAGGGAACAAAGUUAAAUAAGAAAACAGCUAGCGCUAGCAGCGACCACAAUAAACAGAAAAUUUGAGAUGGAUUUACAAUAUUUCUGCCUUUCUUUAUGCUUUAAAAAAUAUUGCUCUAUCAAAAAAAAUAUUGAACAUUUUUAUUAUUGGAGUCACAAAAGACCUACACAAUAUAGCAAGUGACUAGGAAUGAACAAGAAUAUAUAACUCUCUCUCUAAUUCUCACUCUGGCUUUUAAUUGUCACUCAAAACCCAGAAUUCAUCCUUAAAGUGUAGGCAAAUCAGAGAUGACACCCUUUGGUUGUCAUACGUGCCUUUUAAUUUUCGGAUGACAUGGUGUACACUUCUUCUGUAAACCCAACAAGACAUGUCGUACUCUUUUGUUUUGAGAUUCUAUUUCAAACUUUUCAUGCUAUGAAUGAAAGAUAAACUCCAAUCAUCAAAAUAUUUAGUGUUUGUUUGGUAAUGUAAUGUCAUAGUUGUGAAUUGAAAUUAUUUCUGUAAAAUAAAAGGAUUUGGGUCAUUGUUUGUUAUUUUCUGACAACAUUUAUUAAAUAUUAAAAAAUAAAUUUAUAUUUAUUAGGUAUUAAAAAUAAAUAAACAAACAAAAAUAAAAGGAAAAGUUUAUACAUUACGUAAAAUAAUGACAAUAUCAAUAUUUCGCACUCUAUAAUUGAGUGAUGUGUUGUCCAACUGGCAUACAUUGGUCCCAAACAGAGACUUAAAUAUUAAAGUCCAAAGUUAUUGUGAUGAUGACUUAUAAUCGCCAAACUUGACAUACGGGUAAUCAUGCAUUAUAAGGUGCUGAUUUCUUCCGAUCAUAACCUUAUUUUUCAUUUACAAAUAAAUAAAUGAUGUGACUUCACAGUUGUCGGGGUCCUUUGUGUCAUUUGGGCAUUUCACUAAAUGAUUGAUUGCAGCAGGAAGAUUCCUGGAAGUUGCCAUUUGCCAAUGCUACUAACAUUUUCAAACUUGGAAAACCCUUCAAUCAAUCUUUUAGUGGUACGCUCUGGUAGCUUGGUUUGAUUAUGACAUAUGAUUAUUUGAUAAUAAAGGUAGAGGAUGUAUUAAUAUAAAAUUUGUUUAUUGGUGUUGAAGUAAAUUAUCUCAUUAAUAAUGGUAUGAAAAUUUAAUUACUAAGAAACAAAUAGUAGUAGUUAAUUGGUGUCAUAUUAUUGGGAUUCUGGGAUAUAAUUUUAUAUCAUAACUUUGUAAGUGUAUACUUACUCAUCAAACUAAUAAAAUUAUUUAAAAAUUUCAGUUGGAAAAAAUAAAUUAUAUUAUUUUCAUUUCAAAUAAUCUAUAAGUUAACUCAAAACAUAAUCAAGCUGAGAAUUAAAAUAAUGCUACUGUAUGAGAGGAUUUUUAUUUUUUCCCAAAGUUUCACUAGGAAAUUAUUGGUAAGAUAUGACAUUUAAAAAAUAAUUUUCACAAAAAUACAAAGAAUAUUUAUAAAGUACUUUUAUAGUGAGGAGACCCUCACUUUGUUAAAGUGAAAAUAUCAAUAGUAUACAAAAGACAUAUAUUUUAACACAUUAAAAAUUGUAUUUUUUUUAUCUAUUGGUGUAUUGAAAUAUGUGUUAUUUAGUUUGUUAGUGAUAUCAUUACUUUGUUAAAAUGAGAAUGUCGUUACUAGAGAAUCAUUAUAUAUACAUAUAUAAAGUGCUUCUGUCCAAGACCUAGACUUUAUUAAAAUUUGAGAAAGCAAAUAUAUUUUAUAUGGUAUAAUAGUGUAAUAACAUCACACUAUUAUAUCAUAUAGAGUAAUAAUUUUUUGAACUUUAAUAAAAUUCAAGAUUAUAGAAUGAAUGAUUUUUAUAUAUUAUAAAUUUUUUUAUCAUAAAUGGAGGACAAAAUUAACAUAUUUUCAAAUUAUAAUAAGUAUUUAUCAAAUAAUUUAACAUUGCAAUUUCUCCUAACUAGUAUAGUAAAUAAUACGACCUAGGAGAUACAUUCAAAGCAUUUCAUAAGUUAGUUGUUAAUAAUAAAUUAUAUAUGCAGCUCCAAUCAUCAUUGUACGGUGAGUAAUUUCCAGUUAUAAAUAGAUAUUACUCCCUUCCCAGCAAUUUUUGAUGACUUAAUUUAGUGGGAUCAAAAUCAACAUUGAAUUUUUGACCAGCUGCCAACAACUUGUGAGCAGUUCACAGUGGGUACUGCACAUGAUGCCUGUUUCUCCUUUUGCAUCUAUUUUUGUUGUUAACAUUCAUUUCAAUAGCAGCUCGUUAAUCCCAUUUGUUGAUUUGGGACUAGAUAAGAAUUUAUCUUGGAACUCCAAUUCUCCAAUUAUUUUAGUUGACAAUAUAUUUAACAUUAUUAAUUGCAUAUUAUUUAAUUAUCAGUAUAUAAUAUUCUUUAAUUUUCUAAUUUUAUAGGAUUAGACACAAAAUUGAUUAUGCCUUUUGAAAUUGAAGGGUUAUGUCAAUUGAAUAGAAAACUUGGAGGUAAACUUGUGGAUGUUUUUGUUGAUUAUCAAUUUAUGCAUGAAUUUUUGUACGUUUACUUUGGUUUAUAAUUAUUACUUUUAAACAUUUUUAUUGGUUUGAUUUAGGGUCAAUUUGGUAAUCCUGUAGCUUUUAAAAUAAUUGCAAUUAGCUAUGCUGUAGAAAUUGAUCAAUCGUCAAGAGAAUCAGCUGAACAUUUAGUAAAAUUUAUUUUUAAAAAUACUUUUAGUUUUAAAAGCGUUGUAUGAAUAAAACUGUUACACUAAAAAUUAAAUGUAUCUUAAACCCAAACUUCUUCUUCUUUUUUUUUUACUAACAAAAUUAAAACAAUAGUGAACACAUUCUUUAAUAAACAAUAAGUAAUAAAUAAAAUCGUGUUAAAUUUCUUAAAAAAUUUCUUUCACGGUUUGCUAAAAAAUUUUAUUAGUAUUUUGAAUAAAUAAAAAUAGUUGAUUUAAUUUUUUUAAAUAAACUUAUUAGGUUCAUGUAAAGAUGUUUUUGUUAUUUUAAAAAGUGUAGAAAGUACUCCUAAAAAAAAGCGUAGAAAGUAAAACUUAAUUUUUUAAAUUUAUUUGCUGAGUGCAUAAAUAAUUGAGUGUUCAUAAUGAUUUUUAAAGUAUAGAUAGUCGGACCCUAAUUUUUUAAUAUAUGGAAAUUUUGCUAAUAUGUUAAUGAGAAUUAAAAAGAUAAUUAAGGGAGGCAAUCGAGACAUUCAGGAUAGUUAGGAUGGGACAUGAUUGUGAGCGGUUUGAUAUUGGUCCUAAUUUUGAUCACAAAUAUAUAAACAUGACGAGUUUAUCUCUACUGACAUUCCAUUUGAUAAUUAAGAUGAGAACGGAAUUGUCAAAUCUCAAAUCAUCCCGAACCAUUGCCAUCAAAGGUACUCUCACUAAUAAUAUCUAAAGAAAAAUCUACAUCUAUUUCAUACAUUUUUUUUUAAACGGAAAGAGCCCUCAUGGGGCUUGAAAUGUUAUCCUAAAUAGUAUUCAAAAUAUCAAGCCAUGAUUGGGUUUGAGACAAACAAAUAUUACAUAGUUAGGAUACAUAGUUAUAGUGUCCCAAUUUAUGUAGUAUCUAUCAUUUAGUGCACAUAUAAAAUAUUAAUCAGCUUAAUUAAUUUAUAAAAUUUAAAUCUAAUUAAUAAGUGAUACAUAAAUGCCAAGUGCAAUAUUGUAUAUGCAAAUCAUGUUUGUGGAUCAUUACAAAACCGGCUCUUGAAAACAAGCAAGAAAGCUUAAUUAAGAACUUAAAACAAAAAGAAUUAGAUUGAAAACAGUCAAGCUUUAUUUUUUCAAGGAUGGAGCUUAUAAAUCUUCAAGUACCAACAUAUGCUUGGCCCAAUUGUUGUUAUUAAAAUUUCAAUAUACAUUUAUAAGUAUGAUAUAGCAAAAAUUUGAUGGUACAUAUCUCGGAAUAUACUAGUUCAUGGAUGCAUUUGAUUAUUGUUUCCAUAAAUUUGAACUGGGAAGGAUGACAUGAUAAAAUUUGAUUUUAUGGUAUGGUUGAUUUCAGAUCUCAUGCCCUCCUUUCUUAAGAUAAUCAAAUUUUCUCUGACAUCUUUUGCAACUGUGGAAAUAUCAAUUAUGAUCAAUCAAAAUGAUUUCAAAACCUUUCAACAAGACAUAUUUAUAAUACAAUAUUGUGAAAAUUACAACAAAAAUUUAAUUUAUUAAAUAAUAUAUUAUUAUCCAACGAGCACACAAAAAUGAAUUCGUACAAAUCUAAAAUACUUAGCAAUUUUCAAAUAGAAUUUACUAUGUACUACAAGAAAAUAUGGUAUAUGUGACCCCGAAUGUGAAUGCAAAUUUGCAAAAGCAGCCAUUACGCAUGCCACUAACUUCUAACUUUGUAACCUCGAGUUGUUUUGUUACCCUUUAUGUGACGGCCACACUGCUGUCACAUAUGUUACUAACCACGUGACGGUAAAGAGCCGUUCGGUUUAGCACUAUUUUAGAAAUUUAAAAUUAUUUCCAGUUAGAAAACUAUUCGCUGGACUAGCCACCAUCGUAAACCUAACUGGUUGCCGGCGAACGGCGUAAAACACCGGGCAUCUUCUUCUUCAUCGUAUUCUCCCUUCAUCUUUUGAGGUAAGCUUGUGAUUAUGAGUUUCUUCUCUUACUUAGCUUGUAAUUAUAGAUUUUGAUUUUUUUUUAAAUUCGUAUUGUAGCCAUUAUUGUCAAUUUUUGUCCCGCCAGCAAUAUUUUUUUAUUCCUACAAGUUGAAGCCCCUGUGUUCUUGUUCCAUUGGUGAGUUUGCUCACUCAAAUUAAUUUUGUUCUGCGAAAUUUACAAAGUUCAAAUGGAUUCAUUUGAAUUACUAUUGAAUUUAGCUUUAAUUCCAACAUCCAUUCUAAUGUUUUGCUAUUAGAUUUAGUUUAAUUUUAUGUUUAAAGCAUCUACAAUGAAUAGCGGAGCUUGGGUUUUAGUUUUAUUUUCUGGAUAACUUGUUUUAGUUUAUCUUGUAUGCUCACCAAGUGCUUGUUAUAUUGUCUGAUAAGUUAUUUACAUUGCUGAUUCUAUAUUAAUAAUGUUACGUUCUAUUUUCAGAAAUUAUAAUACAAAAGUUUUUACAAUGGCGUGCAUCUACAAACUGAAUUGACUUGUAGAAUAAGAGCUUGGAGUAAAUGAAAGUUGAUAUUGUGUAAGAGCAUGUAGAUGUAAAGCAUCAUUACCAUAUCUACAAAGUGCUUUCAUUCUGUUCAGAUGCUCUUCUUGAAAUUUGAAAGGUGCCUCGUUCAAGUCCUAGCGAUAACUACUAGCUUUGAUUAAUUAAGUUCCAAUACAAGCUGAAACAGAUUUAUUUAAUUAAUUAAUUGUGUACAUACUAAUUAUAUUGAAAGUAUAUGAAACUUUUUUUUUUUUUAACAUGAAUGACUUGUAAAUGACUUAAAAACCUAAAGGAUGUGUGAAAUAAUGCUCACUUCACUUGAAUGAGCCUAUUAAUACUUUUAUGUUUAUGAUUUUCAAUAUUGGCUUAAGCAUUUCAGUUAAGUGGUUUACCUAACAGAGAAAAAAAUUUAAUAGAAAACUUCAGAGUUCUAACGGAAAUAUAGUUCACCAUGCAGAUAUAGUUAUUUUACGGUAUACAAAUCAAGUUGUCCUAAUCUCAAUGUCCUAUCACCGAUUUUAUUUGAUAUAGUCAUUAAUUUUUACCAUGGUUUUUUGUGUUUAUGAGUAUGAAAUAGUGGGAUUUGGUGUACCUUAGCAUCUUUUGGAAAUUCUCUUUAAGUGUGGCCAACAGAAAUAUACAUAUAAUCAAGUUUCUUAAUUGUGUAUAUUAGUUUUGGGUACGAAUGUUCCUAUUCUAGUUCUAGACAAAGCUUCUUCGUUUUGGUCUUCAGAUUUCCAGUAGGUUAAGUUAAUCAACUAUCAUAACUGGCUAGCUACUUAUUGUCUGCCUUGGCGCCAUUACCCAGGCCAUUAUAUUGCAUAGCAUAAGGAAUAGUGAUUAGGUGAUUAUUAGUGAUUUGUUGAGCUUAUUAUUGACCAAACAAACAUAUUCGCCUUUGCCCACAACUUAGUUUGAUUAGUUUUAGACCACAAAGAGCCUUGAUCUAUUCAUUGGCUUUAUUAUUUUUAUUUGGUUUUUCUUUGGUUUUUCUUUCAACAAUAUUGGUGAUUUCUUAUAAAAAUAUUCAUUGGUUUUUAAACACCUAGUCAUUGGCUAUAUGAAGCAAAUUAAAACUGAGGCUUUGGAUCAAUUUCUUCUAACAAGAUACAAAUGAGCAUAACCUUUCUCCUCUAAGUAAUUUUUUUUAUAUCCUUGAUUUGUAAGGAUCUGGAGGCCUGAAAUCCUCUAGAUUUUUUUUAACACUGUCAAUGUCCUUUUUGUUCUGAAAAGGAAAUAAAAGGUUUUAUCUUUCAUACCCUAAUAGUAAGCUGGCCUUGUCUUAACAUGGCUUCUUGAGGAUUUGCAAGAUUCAUAGUUCCCCCAACACACCUCCCCAAAAAAAAAGAAGAAAAAGAAAAAAAAAAGAAAAAAGGAAGAUUUUGCAAGAUUCACCACCAGGUUUUUUUUUUUAAAUUUAUUAAUUGUGUGUACGUACUAGUUAUAUGUUGAAAGAAUAGGCAGAAGUAUUUCAACAUGAAUGACAUAAAACUUACUGCUCAGUAAACAUAAUCUGCAUCAGUGGGAAAAUGUAUUUAUCGUUUGUAUUUUUUAUGGUUUUGCUUAAGAAAUGAUAUGUGAAAUAAUGCUACAUUGUAUCAGGAAUAAAUUGAAGAGAUUUAUGAUAGUUAUGUGUUAUUCAAAUUUCAGAUUCAAUUUUAAACUUUUGAUACGUGCAUUGAAAGCUUAGACUUGUUUAAGAAAUUAUUAAUAGACACAUGUUGUAUUAGUGUCAUCUUUGGAUGAUAGUGAGGAUCAUAUGUCUAUUAAUAAUUCUUGAAUUGUCCAGGCUUGGACAGUUUGGGAAUGCAUAGUUCUCUCUGGUAGCUAGUAGCUGAAGUUUUCUUCCCAUGUAAAAAUGGCUUUUUCGGUAGCUGCUCCUCGUGUUCUCUGGGUACGUACUAGGUGAAUGGGUGUCAUGUGUUGUUUUGGCAUAACGCAUAAACACUUAUAUAGCUUUGUCGUGAAAUUUUUAUAAACGUAGAAGAAAACUUUAGGUACUUGAGAUUGAAAAAACAUAUGCUUUCUUGAGUGGGAUAUGUAGGAUUUAUCACUUACCUUUGGUAAAUAUGAAGGGAAUGUUGACUCCUUGAAAUAUGCCCAAACCCAUGGAGUAUCUAAAUAAGUCUGAAAACCAAACACUGUUACCUACUAGACGACAAAGCAGAAAAAUUUUCUUGACUUGCUCACCUUUUAAAUAAUUGAAACUCAGCUCAAUACUUGAAUAAGUCUCUGCAGACACACCUUCAAAGUUUACCAUUGAAGGCGUUCGGAGCUCUCGCAAGGCAUUCUUCCAUUCAUGGAGACUCUUGUUUCUCAGUGCCCUCAAUGCAAUGGGCAAACCUCCACAUGCCUUAGCUACAUUAAUUGCUGUAGACUUGAACUUACAAUUUUCAACAUCAUCACCAUUCAUUAUCUUAAACAAUCUCCAGGCUUCUUGUUCAGUUAGAUUGCCAAUCAAAAAGUUAUCUUUGGAGCCCAUACUUGAAAGCACAUUAUUAUCUCUUGCUGUCCGCAACAGUCUACAUCCUUUAUGAUUAUUUCCAAAAGGAAUUCCAACCGUCCCCAAUUCAAGAUGUUUCCAGAUAUUAUCUGGAAUCACAAGAAUCUUAUUCUCACUCGUCAAUCGUUCAUGCAGCUUGCUAGCUCUUCUAUAUUCAGCUUCAUCGGACAACUCCAGACCUAACUUCUCUGCAAUUUCCCCUUGAAUCUUUUUUAUCUCUAGAGUUUAUGAAACCUCUGGUAAAACCACCCAUAAAACAGCUUUUUUCCCUGGCUUGCCUAGCAAACUCCUUCAUCAGUGUGGUCUUUCCAAUGCCGCCUAUGCCGUACACCCCAAUAAAGCUGACAUUCGCCUCCGUCAAUGCAUUUUUUAUAGACUGCAAAGUAGAAAGUCUUGAUUCGAAGGCCUCGUAACCACUGCUAGACUUAAGCCAUAUCUCCUCCGGAAUGGUACGGUGGGAAACAGUAUCAAACUUCUUAACUUCUUCUCCAAGUUCAAUAAUGGCCUUCACCUCCGUCUCUGCUUUCUUGCUAAGCUGAUAGCGACUCUUCCAAUUAGGACUCAAGCCCUUGACACAGCGCUUAUUCGUUGACUCCUCAUCUUCAAUGAAUUUGGCUGCCCGGUCAAUGAUGCCGUUCGCACUUCGCACUAACCAGCCACUUUUCAACCUUCUCUUCAAUCUCUUCCCCUUUUUCUUUCGCCUCUGAAACCCUGCGCUGAAUGCUCGUACGUUCAACCUCCAACUUCUCCAUUUCCGCCUUGAUAUUCUCAAAGUUGGCAUUGUUGUUCCGCUUUCGCAAAUAAACAAGUUGGCGUGCAGUUGGAGGAGCCAAGCAUUUUACAAGUUCCAAGACGAUAGUCACAAUGAUUUCCAGCAUCUCGAAGUCUGACAAAAACGUAGAAGCGAAGAAAGCCAAAGGAAAGCAAAAACAAAGAGACAGCGAUGGGACAAGCAAUUGUGUUUUUCAGAUGAGAUGAAGGAAACAAGAAAAGAGUUUCUAUCACGACGUAAAGAGCUAAAAGAGCUGAUGGGUACAGAAUAAGAAAUGAGACUGAGGAGUGCGCAAAGCUAAAUAAUAACAGAACAAGAACAAUGACGAAUAGAAGAAACAGUAGCAAAGAGCCGUUUAGAUGAUUAGAAUGAAACUAAGCGACUGGAAAGAGUGGAUGGUAGACUAAAGAGAAAGUGAUUGAUUAUUUUAGGAGACCAAUUAACGUAAUGACAGAUCCGGUUUCGAUGUUUGUAAUUUGAGUAUGAGGUAAAUCGAUUCUUUGUCGAGCCAGUCAAAUACAAAGGCAAAUUAGUAAAACACGAGCCAGCAACUUUUACUCACACAAAAGCCAAUAAUAUAUUGAGAUCACGCAACAUUGCAAUAAAGUUAUUAUCAAGUUGUAGCCUUCUUAUUCAAUCAAUUAUAGCAUUAUCUCUAGCUCUGUAUUUUUCAAAAAAAAAUUAUUCAAAAGAUGUCUGUCAUUAAUUUUUCAAUGAUUAAAAUUAUAAUUUUUGUUUAAUAUAUAUAACGUAAAAUUUUAAAAGAAUCAGACAUGCAUUAGGGUAAAAAUAAAAAAUAUGGAGGUAGCUUUUAACUAGGUAAUUGGCUCAACUAUGGAUCAGUGUGACAUUUUAGUAUUAAGCAAACGGAACUUUUUUUUAAUUAAAUUAAUCUCAAAGUGAUAGGCUUCUCAUGAAUCAUGUAAUGUUGUCGUUUUUAAAGACUUGACAUUUUGGGGUAAUCAGAAUUAACAAUGCACAUCACUUGUUUGUCACAAUGUCCAAAUAAAUAAUUUUAAAAAAAAGUUAUUUUCAUUCUUUCUUUUCAGGUAUCCUAAUUCCUUUUGCAGUUUGAUUCCUCUUUUCCUGAAUUUUGUUCCUUCCAUUAAACUAAUAAUUUAUUUAAGAACAAUUAAGCAUCAGCCCCCAAUUGUUCAGUAUUUCACACAGCGGCACCCACAUCUUUUGACCAUGUGCACCUCCCCCCUAUUUUUAUUAAAAAAUCAACUAAUCUAACUAUUUAGACUGUUAUAAAUUUAAAAGACUAUACUACCCCUAUUUUGAAAUGAAUUGGGUAUAUAAGUACUAAAAUACCCUUACAACUAAUAAAAUUUAAAUCAAAAAGUAAAAAUUUAUUAUAAUAUUUUUAAAAUUAUAUGGAAACAAUUUUUUUCCGGAUUAGGAACCCAAGAUUAUAACCUAGUAAAUUACAAAAUCAAAGGCAAAGCAUGAUUCCAAUGUGAAAGAAAAAAAUUAAACACACAUUCAUCAGUACAUUACAAAAUAAGUCCAAUAAUCCCACCAAAAUAAAUAAAACCCAAUAGAAAGAAACCCUAAACUAAUGAUACCAAAAUCCCUGAGAGCAAAUUUCAUUGUAAAAUUCUAUUACAAAAUAAAUUCAUACUAAGAAAAUUCGAUAAAAAGAAACCCAAUAAUCAAAAAUCUUAAAACUAAAGAUAUCAAACCCAAAAUUAAAUUAUAGAGGCGGCGAAGGAAAAAGUUUUUUUUUUUUUAAAUUAUAUAUUAUUUUAAUCUUGUGUUAAUUACCAUUCUACCCUUCUUUCCGUUAACAUUAGAUUUGAAAGAAAUGAGGGUGGUGAACAUGGUCGGAAGAUUGGGGGCACAAUGCAAAAUGUCGAAACAAUUGGGGGUAACGCUAAAUUACACAUUAUUUAAAUUAAAUUAUCUUAAUUGUAUUUGACUGUGACUGUGACCGGAACCGCUACAAUCACUUAGUAUUUUUAUUAAUUAAUUAACAAUUAGUUUCAUCAUUAGACGGUACUAUGAUAGUUUUGUCACUAUGUUUGUUACCAUCUCUCAAAAAAAAAAAAUUACUUUUACAUGUCGAAUUGUGUAACAACGAUUUAAUGAAAAAUAAAAAAACAGCACGACAUCUCGAGGCUUAACAUGGUAAUCAUGAAUAUCCCUUAUUUUCAAAUAUAUAUAUAGACCUCUUUUUGUAUUUAAAAAUAGUUACAUAGAUCCUGAAUUUGUGUGUCCGUGGAUAAAUUUUCAUGAUCAUUUUUUAAAAUAAGGGAUUUUUGUGACUAUUUUGUCACGUCCUAGGAUGCUGCCGUUCUUGUCACCAAAAAUUAUUCUCAUAAGAGUAAUGAUUAAUUGGACGUCAGCAAUGAGGGCAUGUAAUGAAAAAUUUUGUUUUGCAUGGAAUCCAAUAAUUUUAAUUACCCUGGUGGUGACAGACCCAGCUGCAAAAUCAACUGAUUUUACAAUUCUAUUGAAAAUUCUUUAAAUGAUCACUUAUCUAGUUCUACUAUAUCCUUAAGCAUAUUGAUUUUGUUACUUAUUUCCUAGUACUUAUAUUUAGGCAUUGAAAUUGGAUUGCAUAGACUAAGACGAUUACUUGAGCUGAAAAUUUUUCAAGUAUGGCGGAGGGGAAAGUGAGAGAGCCGCUGCUAAAGAAGAAAUAUUAUGAGAACUGCUCAGGCUGUAAGGUUGAUAAGCUUAAAGAGUCGGAACGAGGCUUACCAAUUCGCAAGCUUUUUAUAAUUUGGAUUGUUGUGCUUGCAACUGGUAAAUUUUUCAACUUCAACUCGAUAUAAUGAUUUUUGAGAGAACCAUUUACAAUGAUUUUGGCCUAUUGUGCUCUUCUAGUUUUGUCCUUAAUUCUUUGGUGAUUUUUUUUUUUUUUCAGUUCUGCCGGUCGCAUCUCUCUUUCCCUUCCUUUAUUUUAUGGUGAGUGGACUGUUGUUGCCUUCAGCAGAGUAGUUACUAGUGAGAAAAUUUAUAUUUUUCUAUCAUGCUUGCUGAUUUUCUUAGAAAUAUAAGAAAAGACAAGUUUUAUCUGUCAAACAAUUCAUUGCUUUUUCACAGCAGUAUGUUAUGAUUUCUUUUCAGAUUAGGGAUUUUCACAUUGCAAAAAGGGAGUAAGAUAUUGGAUUCUAUGCUGGUUACGUGGGUGAGUUAUUUUAUGUAUUUUUAUUGUGUUUAAUAAAUGACACAUGGUAUGGAGUCCUUUUUUGGUACAAAUGUGCAGACUCGCGCCUUUACAACUCUGUAAAAACAUUCUAUUGAGGGCUUUACAACACUGUAAAGGCACUGUACAAGGGUUUUACACUGCAGACUUGCGCCUUUAUACUGUAAAGGGCCAAGUCUAUGCUUUAAAAAGUACAGAUGUUCGCACCUCGAAAUAAUUAACAUAUAUGUAUGUAACAUUUCAAAUUCCUCAAGAAGCCAUCCUGACAAACCUCUUAAUACCUUUGAUGAAAUUGAAGGGUCUUCAUACAUGCUUGGCAGAGCUUUAACAUCUGUUUUGUGGGGAUGGUGGCUGACCGCUGCAGAAAGCCUGUAAUAAUAAUAGGAUGCAUCACAGUGUUAGUGACCUCUAUUUUCAAAUGAUUAAGCUUGAAAUUGAUGAUACUUUGGCAAUUUCUGGGUUUCUUAUUUGUCUUAAAAUGCUCACAGGGUUAUUUUUAGCACUCUCUUUGGGCUUAGUGUGAAUUUCUGGAUGGCCAUAGCUACAAGGUUUCUCCUCGGGGCUUUGAAUGGUUUACUUGGACCAAUAAAGGUAUUGAUUGGGGGUAUUUGUUGAUAAUUCCAAUUUAGUUCCUGCAAAUUUUUGUGCUCAAACUUCUCUUACACCACGAGGCAUAUGCAUGUGAAAUAUUGGGCGAUCAGCACCAAACUUAUUACGAAACUAAAAAUGUUACUUGUUUUCUGUACUUGCUUUCGCAUGCAUCACCCCCACAAAACUGCUUGACGAUUGUCCUCAUUUUGAACUUACUAUAGGUUUCAUUCUCCUUGUUUUUCAACUUACUCUGUACCCUUACGUCGAGAGGAUUAUUGGGCCAAUAAUCAUAACACGAAUUGCAGGGGGUAAUAUUUUGAACACCUCAUGCGGCAUUUGGACCAUUUGAUAGUUUGUUUCAAACAUAUCUGUUUAUAAAAUACUUUUCUUUAUGGUUUUGGUCCAAUAACUUUCUAUGUAUGUACAGGUUUUAUCGAUACCGCUUUUGACAAGUUACACUUACGUAGCAAUGUUAUCUGGGUUCAGCCUUGCCUUUUUGAUAAACUGUGCUUCUGUGAUGAAGAAUGUUUUAUCUGUAAGUGGAUAUCCUAAUCAUUGAUCCAUAUACUAAGGUUAUAUUAUCCAUCAGCAAGUAUGUAUAAAAUUAUUUUGUCUUUUUUAUUAGAAUUGCUGUAAUUCAUUUUUACUUUUCCUGAAUUGUAACAUCAGGUGUCUAUAAUAACUGGAUUGUUCCCUCUGCAAAACAGAUCAGUGGUAAAUAUAUUUUCUUUUGUUUGUUUAGUACAUUUCCAUGCUUUCAGCUUUUUCAAAUUUUGUAUGUGCCAAAGUUUAAAUUAAUUGGUUGGUUUAUGGUAUAAUAAGAGGUAUGAUAAUUUACUAAUGAAAUUUCUCACUAGUUUGUGAAUUACUUGGUGCUAAUUGCUUAAACUAAAGUGCAGGUAACCAGAUGAUUUUUUUCAUUCUGAAUUCGGUGGAGGCACUUGGAGUAAUAUUGACAUUCAAACCGUUUCUAACUCAACGUGCCCCAUGAGUGGAGAAAAGAUGCAUCUGUUGAAAUAUUCAAAUAUAUAUCAAGCAAAUUAAAGCUUUCAAAAUCUUUCAACAAUUUGAUUGUUUGAUGUGGUUGCCACUUGCCAUAUUUUGUGUUACUUUUCUAAAGGCUUAAAUAUGAAAAUGGUUGUUGGUGCUCACGCCAAUUGAUUGCUGGUAACAUUAAUUGUGCAGUACUUGUCAGAACUACCACAAUUUAUCUUCACAAUGAUGCUACCUAGAAAGAAAAUUUCAUGUUAAGUAAAAUAUUGAAGCCAUAAAGAGUCUUAUUCCAGAGCCUUAUUAAGUACUAAGUUUUCUGCCAUGCUUUCAAAGUUUACAAAUUCGAAGCUUGGGGAUUCUGUAACAAUGGAGGAUAAAAAUUAUAUAAGAAUAUUAUUUUGUACAAUUUUCAUACAACCAAACAGAAGCGAGCAUAAUAUUUUGAUCAUAACUCAGAUCAAAAGACCUUCAAUGAUGUAUAAUAUGCACAUAAAGCUAGCUCAGAACCAGGCAUGAAAACUUAAGAUGAAAGGGAAACAUAGAUGUUGAGAUUGAAAAUAUAGAGAAAUUUUUUUAAAAAGUCUGAAAUUUUAUUAAUAGAAGUUUGAAUAACAAAAUUAGGGUAUUGGACCCUUUGUAUACAAAUUCUAAAUAUUAUGUAUUUAUCAAAAUAGACAAACUUAAAAUAUUAUUACAUAAUAACGUUCUCCUAACUGAAAUAAGAAAAAUAAAAUAAAUCAUACUUAAAAUCUUAUAUUUAGAGAAAAAAUAUAAAAAUAUUGAAAAUAAUAAGAAAAAUAAGAAAAUAUCUUAAACUUUGUAAAAUAACUACGAAAUAAACAGAAUUUCUUGCCGAAUAGAUACCCGCUCAAGUUAUGAUCUAGGAGUGAUAUCCUACUCAUCCUAUGCAACCAUCAGCUGCAUCAACUUCAUUCCAAAAUUAACAAAUAAACCAACUGACGCAUUGCAAAUAAUAAGAUGAAAUGAUAAAAUAAACCUAGAGAUCAAACAACACAAGGUAAUAUAUUAAAAAGCCUAUGGGAUCAAAACAUAUCAUAUACUAUGUCGAGAGAGAUGACGACUCCUCCAACAGCAGAAAAUAAAUUCUUUCAUUCAUUAAUUUAAAGUAAAUUUUGUAAAUUUAGGUACUUGCACAUUGAGAUUUGCAAUUUAAUUUGACAGGACUUUUCAUUGAAUAAUGAAAUUAAAAACUAACGAUUAAUGAAUUUUUUAUAAUUCUCUAAACUCUUGUGGAAAUGUCAGCUGUAAAUAGGACAAUUUCAAGAAUCUUUAUCUGAAAGCGUAAUUGGCAGAGCAGAAACUUGUGAGACUAUCUAAAUCACACAGACUCGAUGUCUUCAAUUUGCUGAAAACAAUCUCUUGUUUUGAAUUUAAAUUUGGUGCUCCAUCUUCUUCUCCGUCACCUAUUACCACCUCUGUCAUUGCCCUGCAUCCAGCUACCUUCAUUGAUACGAGCCGCACUAGACUUUCUGCUGUAGUGGACGGAUGUUACAAUUCCUUGCAAUGGAAAACCAACAGUUCUGUUAGAUUCCCAAAAGAUAUAGAUGAUCAUGGGAAUAGACUUAAAUGAUUGUAAAAUAGUCUUAGAAUGUCAAGAUAUUUAAAAUGGAGUCCAGUUUGGAGUUGCUUCAAUGAUUAAGUCUGGACAGGAUUAACCAUUUUAUCAGUGCCUACUUCCCCACUUGUUUCUAGCAGUAUCCAGCUUGAUUUAAGAAUUUCUCUUUGUAUGAACUAUAACCCAAUAGGAGAUAUUACCCAAAAAAAAAAAAAAACUUAUUUCAAAUGACGCACAGGAGAAGAGUUACCUGAAUCUUCAUCAGUAUCCAGACAUUCUACAAUCACAGAGUAAAGAGUUCUAACAGGAAAAACGGAGAAAACAACGUUCUUCUAUACUUCUCAUAAAACUAGACCAAAUUAGUCCCUUUCUUGGUAUCCAACGUUUUCAAACAAUAUUUCCACAAUAUAGUUUUUCAUGGCGAAGAGUUUUGCUUUGAUGGUUUAAGGAUUUGUUCUAGGCAUAAUGCUCUGAUUAGAUUUUGUUUAUUUUUAAUUUUUUAUCCGAUGAAUGAUUUUCAGCUGUUCUUAAUUAUGUGUUCAUAGGGAAGAGCAUUUGGAAAGAUCAUCAAAAAAAAAAAAAAGUUUCCAAAGAAAGAUAGGUGUGAAGCAAACCAAACCAAAUGAACAAACUAAAAUAACAGAACAGCAAUGAUGUUUUCAAGGAAUUAUAAAAUAUGAAGGCUUUUAAUGAAAUUUUAUCAUACAAAGUAUGCAAGGAAUUAUAAAAUUUUAGAAAACAAGGGGAACUCUCAAAAAAAGAAAAAAAGAAAAAAAUACUCAAAUUAAACUAGACUAGAAGACAUUCAAUGAUGCAAAAUCUGUCCACAAAAGUCUGAACGAAUCAUUAAAAUUGCAUUCCAAAUUUAACAGUAAGCCAAUUGACCCAUUCUAAAUAAUUCAUAUGAAAUUGCGAAACAAGCCAUGAGAUCAAAUAAAUGAAAUAAAAAAUAAUUACCAGCUGAGGCUUUCUUCUAAAAUUCACAACUCCCAAGUCAUAAGAAGCCUAUGAAAUUAGUAUUGGGUAGAGAUCGACGACGGCACCGCCAACAGCUGAAAAUAAAAUUCUUAUUCAUCAAUUUAAACUUUUACUUUAUAACAAAUAUCUUGUCUAUAUUUUAUUAAAAAAAAAAAUUUGUAAAAUGUUUCCAUGGGAGAUAGAGAGUACUAUGUAUAUCCGUACCUUUUCAGCAUGUAAUUGUUGUAUGGUUGUGUUUAGAUCAUUAUUGGUCCAAAGCAAUCGAUCCUCUGUCUCUCCAUAGCAGACAUUUACUCUUGGAGGCGUGAUUGAUUCUCCUGUAGUAAAAAUCUUCAUCUUGGGACAACCAAUCACUUGCAAAUCUUGUAAAGAUGGGAAUUUGAAGGUGUAAUUGGCAGAGCAAAAACUUGUGAGGCUAUCUAAAUCAAACAGUUCCAACGUCUUCAAUUUGCGGAAAACAAUCUCUUCUUUUUCAACUCCAUCUUUGUCGUUUGUUACCACCUCUGUCAUUGCUGUGCAUCCAUAUAUUUCUAUUGCUACGAGUCGCACCAGAGUUUUUGCUGUGGAGGAUGUUACCAAGUGUAUCAAUUCCUUGCAACCGAAAGCUACAAGUUUUGUUAGGUUCCGAAAAGAUACCGAUGAUGAUGGCAAUAGAAUUAACAGACUUUGACAAUGAAUUACUUUUAGAAUUUCAAGAUACUGAAAAAUGGGGCCAAGUUUGGAGUCUUGUUUGCACAGCUGCUCCAGAUGAUAGUGCCAGUACAGCUGUAAUUCUUUUAUCAUUGCCAACUUCCCCGCAUGUUUCUCUAAGCAUCCUUCCAUCGAAAAUAGCUCUUCGUGGGAUGGAAAAAAAAGCAGUGAGAGCAUUUCGAGAUUGUGAAAUCUCUCCAGUACGUUCCAGAUUGGAAAACAAGCUGAGUCAUCUGCAGCAAUCUCUAGUUGUCUAAGACUGCCAAAAAGGUGUUGUGGGAAAUCGGCCUGCAAAAUCAUCUUCACAUCUUUUCCACUUAGUGAUAGUUCCUUCAAGUUGGGUACGAUCUGAUCAUCAUUAAUCAUAAUAACUAAUGAGGUCAAUUGAUGAUCUACGGUAACACGCAGUGAUUUUAUAGUAUUUGUUUUAUAUUAUAUGUUAAAAAAAAUUGAAUUAUUGAUAAAAUUUAUUUUGUAUGUUAAUUUUAGAGGUAAAGCAAGAAAUUAGGGAAAAAUAGUUGAUUUAUAUUGGCUCAAAAUUAUUUUAUUGCACAAUAAUAAAUUACUAAUUUAUUUUGUAAGUUCUUCUAAAUGGAAAGACUGAGGAUUCUUUUAUAAAUGCUAUACCUAAAAAAGUUCAUAUAAUUAUGAAUCUACCAUAUUGAUCCCUUAGUCUAGACUAGCAAAGAUGAUUGUAUAAUAAAAGUUUUUAAUUUAUUGAGUAUUAAAUGAUUUUUUAUAUGUUAAUUUUAGAGGUAAAAAAGAAAUUAGGGAAAAAAGGUUGAUUUAUACUGACUCGAAAUUAUUUUAUUGCACAAUAAUAAAUUACUAAUUUAUUUUGUAAGUUCUUCUAUAUGGAAAGACUCAAGAUUCUUUUACAAAUGCUAAACCUAAAAAAGUUUAUAUAAUUAUUAAUCUACCACAUUGAUCCCUUAGUCUAGACUAGCAAAGAUUAUUGUAUAAUAAAAGUUUUCAAUUUAUUGAGCAUUAAUUUAUCAAUACUUUGUCAUAUUUUUCAAAGUUAAAAAUAAGCUAUAGAUAAAAAAUCUAGAAAAUGGCUUCAUACCUUUUCCAAUGGCAAUAGGGGCUGUUGUGCAGGAAUACCAAGUUGAUCAUUCCCAUUAUUCUGCGAUAAAUCUGCAGCGAAUAUCUUUAAUUUGUCACAACCAUACACUACAAGAGUUUCUAGUGCGGGCCAUUCCCAAGUAUGCAUUCCAGGGUACAAAAAUCUAAGUUUUGGUAGAUCAUGGAGCAUCAAAGUGGUGAGUGUCAAACAAAUGGGCUAUAUGGUCAACACCAUCUUUAGUUGGAAAAGAAAACAAAAGAAGAAUGGAGAAUGAGGAGUCGCAAUCUAGAAGCUAUAAAUGUUUGAAGAAGAAAUAAGAGGCACACGGCUUUGACAAAAGAAAGAAGAAAAAAUAAUAAUAUAUAAUUGAUGAAUAGUGCCAAAGCUUUCUCUAUAAAUAGAAACGAAGAGAAUGAGCAAAUUCAAUUCCAUUUUGAGAGGCAUUCAAUUUUGUAGAGAGAGUCAAGAGUUGUGAGAAAUAAUUCUUGCAGAGCAGAGAGUCUAGUGAGUGAGAGAUUGGGUGUAUUGGGGUUUUGGGUUGUAAGCCAAAAUAUUACAAUACUUGUAAUCCUUAUUUCACUAGUAAAAUAUUUCCUUCUGUUUUCGCCCGUGGACGUAGGCUAAAAGCCGAACCACGUAAUUUCUGGUGUCCUCUAUUGUGCUUGUUCUUUAUUUUAUUUCCAAUUUUAUUUUAGCUGCGGUCCUGCUGCACCCACCAAUUUCCUAACAGUGGUAUCAGAGCUAUUGGUUGUAUUUUUGGAGUCGGGAAUUGUUCACGUAUUCACGUAUACGGCGUACGGGACUAUUCACGUAUACGGCGUACGGCACUAUUCACGUAUACGGCACUAUUCACGUAUACGGUACUAUUCACGUGAAACGGUGGAAGCCAUCCAAGAAUUUUGCGGUGCAAAGCAGGGAAUAGUGGUGUGAGUAAAGCAACUGUGUGGUUCUGUACAUGUCUAGGAAAGUUCUGUCACAAAGGCGAUAAGAGCUUAAGGAGUCUGGGUUUUAAGUGGGACCAUUGUGACCCCUCCAGUCUUUCCUGGGAACUUUCCUGGUGUGCAUUCUCACACAUACUCACAACUAUUCAAGGUGGUACACUAACUUGUGUGCAGUAUUUAUCAACAAAAUGGCGGCAAAGUAUGAAAUUGAGAAAUUUAACGGAAAUAAUUUUUCGUUGUGGAAAAUGAAGAUGAAAGCUGUAUUGAGGAAAAAUAAUUGUUUGGCAGCAAUUGGAGAAAGGCCCAUGGAGAUAACUGAUGACAAGUGGAACGAGGUAGACGGCAAUGCCAUUUCUGAUCUACACUUGGCACUUGCGGAUGGAGUAUUAUCCAGUGUGGCAGAGAAAAAUACGGCGAAGGAAAUAUGGGAUACUCUCACAAAAUUGUAUGAGGCCAAGUCACUACACAACAAAAUUUUCUUGAAGAGAAAACUCUAUACUCUUCGAAUGGCGGAAUCUACAAUGGUGACCGACCACAUCAACACAUUGAAGACUCUAUUUUCACAACUCACAAUGUUGGGUCAUAAUAUAGAGGAAAAUGAACGUGCAGAGCUUCUACUUCAAAGUCUACCAGAUUCGUAUGAUCAACUCAUCAUCAACCUGACGAACAACAAUCCAGUGGAGAGUCUAGUUUUCGACGAUGUUGCAGCCUCCGUAUUAAAUGAGGAGAGCAGGCGGAAAAAUAAGGAAAACGGACAAGCAAGUUCGCAGCAAGCAGAAGCGCUAUCGGUGACGAGAGGGAGAUCAACGGAACGUGGCCCCAGUGGGAGUCAAAAUCAGGGUAGAUCAAAAUCUAGAAGUAAGAAGAAUGUUAAAUGCUACAACUGUGGCAAAAAAGGGCACGUCAAGAAAGAGUGUUGGAGUAACCAGAAGAGAAGAGAGGGCAAAGAACCUGAGUCAUCAAAUGCUCAGGGGUGUGUAGCAAGUACCUCGGAUGAUGGCGAAAUUCUUUACAGCGAGGCAACAACUAUUUCAGAAGGCAGAAAACGACUUUCUGAUGUCUGGCUUAUAGACUCAGGAGCUACCUGGCACAUGACCUCUAGAAGAGAAUGGUUCCACACAUAUGAACCUAUCUCAGGAGGAUCUGUAUAUAUGGGUAACGAUCAUGCCUUGGAGAUCGCUGGUAUUGGUACUAUCAAAAUAAAAAUGUUUGAUGGUACAAUUCGCACAAUUGGGGAGGUACGACAUGUCAACGGCCUGAAGAAAAAUCUAUUGUCUUUGGGACAAAUGGAUAGUCAUGGGUACAAAACUCAUGUGGAGAAUGGAAUUAUGAAGAUCGUUAAAGGUGCGCUUGUAUUGAUGAAGGCAGAAAAGAUCGGUGCUAAUCUAUACAUGCUUAAAGGAGAAACGCUACAGGAGGCAGAUGCGUGUGUCGCAUCAAAUGGAGAAGAGUCAACGAUGAUGUGGCAUCUCAAACUUGGCCACAUGUCAGAACAAGGCUUGAAGAUUCUCUCUGAGCAAAAAUUGCUUCCGGGGCUCAAAUCGGUAAGUUUACCAUUUUGCGAGCAUUGUGUUACAAGUAAGCAGCAUAGAUUAAAAUUCAGUAGAUCUAUUGCUAGAAGUAAAUGCAUUCUAGACUUGAUUCAUUCUGAUGUUUGGGAAUCACCGGAUAUAUCCAUGGGAGGUGCAAAAUACAUGGUGACUUUCAUUGAUGAUUAUUCCAGAAGAUGUUGGGUGUAUCCAAUUAAGAAAAAGUCAGAUGUAUUUCCUGUGUUUAAAGAAUACAAAGCGCGGGUGGAACUUGAAUAUGGUAAAAAGAUCAAGUGCUUGAGGACAGAUAAUGGUGGAGAAUAUAUAGACGGCGAGUUUCUUGCUUUCUGUAAGCAAGAAGGUAUUCAGAGGCAGUUCACGGUGGCACACACUCCUCAACAAAAUGGAGUGGCGGAGCGGAUGAACAGAACUCUUACAGAAAGAAUAAGAGCUAUGUUGAAGACUGCUGGUCUACCCAAUUCAUUCUGGGCAGAAGCAGCCAAAACUGCCUGUUAUAUAGUAAAUCGGUCGCCAUCUACAGCAAUUGGGUUGAAGACGGCGAUGGAGAUGUGGACUGGAAAGCCAGCUGAUUAUUCCUACCUACAUGCAUUUGGAUGUCCUGUGUACGUGAUGUACAAUGCCCAAGAAAGAACAAAGCUGGAUCCAAAAUCUAGAAGAUGUAUCUUCUUAGGGUAUGCUGAUGGAGUAAAGGGGUAUCGUCUGUGGGACCCCACUGCCCACAAGAUCGUCAUCAGCAGAGAUGUUAUUUUUGUAGAAGAUCAACUGCAAAUGAAAGAUGGAGAUGAUGGCAGUGUAAAAGAAAAGUCAGAGAUUGUGCCGGUAUAUGUAGAAAAUAAUCCAGAAGAUUCAGAUUCUUCGGAAGCAGCACCAGAGCACGAAGAACAAGAACCAGUCGAGUCUGAGGCUCCAGAAGUUCGUCGGUCAACUCGUGAGAGACGACCGCCGGCGUGGCACUCGGAGUAUGUCACAGAGAUCAACGUUGCAUACUGUCUUCUAACAGAAGAUGGAGAGCCUUCAACUUUCCAUGAAGCUUUAAACAGCUCAGAUGUUGCUUUGUGGAUGACAGCAAUGCAGGAAGAAAUUGAAGCUCUACACAAGAACAAGACAUGGGAACUUGUACCACUACCACGUGGAAGAAAAGCCAUUGGAAACAAAUGGGUCUACAAGAUCAAACGUGAUGGCAAUGACCAAGUGGAGCGGUAUCGUGCAAGACUGGUGGUGAAAGGAUAUGCUCAGAAAGAAGGUAUUGACUUCAACGAGAUAUUUUCUCCAGUGGUUCGACUCACAACAGUCAGAAUAGUCUUGGCGAUGUGUGCUACAUUUGACCUACAUCUUGAGCAGUUAGAUGUGAAAACUGCAUUUCUUCAUGGAGAACUUGAAGAAGAAAUAUAUAUGCUCCAACCAGAAGGUUUUGCAGAAACAGGAAAGGAGAACUUGGUUUGCAGGUUGAACAAAUCUCUAUACGGUCUCAAACAGGCGCCGAGGUGUUGGUAUAAGAGAUUUGAUUCCUUCAUCAUGAGCCUUGGAUACAACAGACUGAGUUCAGACCAUUGUGCAUAUUACAAGAGGUUUGAAGAUAAUGAUUUCAUUAUUUUGUUGUUGUAUGUGGACGACAUGUUGGUAGCAGGUCCCAACAAAGAUCGAAUCCAAGAAUUGAAGGCACAGUUGGCUAGGGAGUUUGAAAUGAAGGACUUGGGACCAGCAAACAAGAUUCUAGGGAUGCAAAUUCACCGAGACAGAAAUAACAGGAAGAUUUGGCUUUCGCAGAAGAAUUACUUGAAGAAAAUCUUGCGACGCUUCAACAUGCAAGAUUGUAAGUCAAUUUCUACCCCACUUCCUGUUAAUUUCAAAUUAUCCUCAAGUAUGUGUCCUAGUAAUGAAGCAGAGAGGAAGGAGAUGUCUCGAGUACCGUAUGCAUCAGCAGUGGGAAGUUUGAUGUUCGCUAUGAUAUGUACUAGACCGGACAUUGCACAAGCAGUGGGAGCAGUCAGUCGAUACAUGGCGAAUCCUGGUGGAGAGCAUUGGAUAGCUGUGAAGAGGAUUCUGAGAUACAUCAGAGGAACCUCAGAUGUUGCAUUAUGUUAUGGAGGAUCAGAGUUUACUGUCAGGGGCUAUGUGGAUUCAGAUUUUGCAGGAGAUCUUGAUAAAAGAAAAUCCACUACUGGUUAUGUGUUUACACUUGCGGGAGCAGCUGUAAGCUGGGUUUCAAAACUGCAGACCAUUGUGGCUUUAUCUACAACAGAAGCAGAAUACAUGGCAGCUACACAAGCUUGCAAGGAAGCUAUUUGGAUACAAAGAUUAUUGGAGGAGCUCGGGUACAAACAACAGAAAAUUCCUGUGUUUUGUGACAGUCAGAGUGCCUUGCACAUUGCAAGGAAUCCAGCCUUUCAUUCCAGGACAAAGCACAUAGGAGUCCAGUAUCACUUCGUUCGUGAAGUAGUGGAAGAUGGAAGUGUGGAUUUACAGAAAAUUCAUACGAAGGAGAACCUAGCAGAUGUUUUGACCAAGCCAAUAAAUACUGAUAAGUUUGUCUGGAGUAGAUCCUCUUGUGGCCUAGCAGCAACGUAGGCAACAUGACUAUGGCGAAGCAGAAAGGAUGGUGUGGAGAUUGAUUGGUCCUUAAUCUAAUCUCCAAGUGGGAGAAAUGUCAAACAAAUGGGCUAUCUAGAUGGUCAACACCAUCUUUAGUUGGAAAAGAAAACAAAAGAAGAAUGGAGAAUGAGGAGUCGCAAUCUAGAAGCUAUAAAUGUUUGAAGAAGAAAUAAGAGGCACACGGCUUUGACAAAAGAAAGAAGAAAAAAUAAUAAUAUAUAAUUGAUGAAUAGUGCCAAAGCUUUCUCUAUAAAUAGAAACGAAGAGAAUGAGCAAAUUCAAUUCCAUUUUGAGAGGCAUUCAAUUUUGUAGAGAGAGUCAAGAGUUGUGAGAAAUAAUUCUUGCAGAGCAGAGAGUCUAGUGAGUAAGAGAUUGGGUGUAUUGGGGUUUUGGGUUGUAAGCCAAAAUAUUACAAUACUUGUAAUCCUUAUUUCACUAGUAAAAUAUUUCCUUCUGUUUUCGCCCGUGGACGUAGGCUAAAAGCCGAACCACGUAAUUUCUGGUGUCCUCUAUUGUGCUUGUUCUUUAUUUUAUUUCCAAUUUUAUUUUAGCUGCGGUCCUGCUGCACCCACCAAUUUCCUAACAGUGAGCUGUGGAAAGACAAAAUGAGGGAUCACUUGAUCUGCUCUGUUUUCAGAAAUGAUCUCCUGUAAAUCCUUACAGUCUCGUAUAUCUAGGUGUUGGAGCUGCUUAAGGCUUCCGAUCAUAGACGCUGAAAAUAUGUAUUUCAGUUUGUGACACCACCACACAACUAAUCGUGUUAAACUUUGAAAGUGAGGAAACAUGGCCGCCGGAAUUUGAUUGUAGUGCCAAAUCUUGUCGACAUUAAUAUUAGAUAUCUCCAAAGCCUCCAAGUUAGGCAACGCAACCUAAAAAAAUAAGAAUUUCUCGUUAGAUCCAAUAUCCAUAUGGGAAGCACUUGUUGAAAUUUUCUUCUUUGAUUACAAAUUAAUGCAAAGUCAGAAUCAAUUUCCAACUGACAGCUGAGAAUGCAUUCUAAUUCAUACUACUUGUUAAGAGCUCAAUUAGUGAGCGCGUGAGAUUCUUUUUAUCCUUUUUUCCAUUUUCUUUCAAAUCUUUAAAUGAUUUAAUUAUUUUCCACGUAUGACAUCAAAACAGAACGCAUGAUAGAAUAAAGUCUGUUAUAUAUAUAUAUAUAAAGAAAAUGUUAGCCUACGCACCUUCUCGUUGAAAAGCAGAGUUGAAAUGUCCAAAGUGAUUUCGCUGGAGCAAUACAUAGUCGUCGAUUCCUCUUGUGACACUUGUCUGUUCGGUGAUGCAGAAGGAGUCUCCACCUCACGGCGGCAAAAACUUGUAACCUCUGGAAGAUUCCCCAGACUCAAAGAUCUUAAUUGAGCAAACUCUAUCUUCUCAAUUGCAUUAUCAACUUCUUCCCCAAUUGCAAAAAUCUCUUUCAUCUUGCUGCAAUUAAUAACUGCAAUUCUCUCAAGUCUUGGAAGGCAUUCUGCAGUAGAGAGCCAAAAGAUAUUACUCAACUUAUCACAAUUAUAUGCUUCUACGGUUUUGAGUUCGUUGAAAGACUCUACUUUGAGCCGAUCAACACAUAUCCUCUCCAUGUUGAUCAAAUUGUGAAGGAUAAGUGACUCCAAAAGAGGAAAGGCAUCACAAGCGACCAUCUCCCUUGAAUCGACGAUGCAAAAGAAGUCUGGAUUAUUUUGAACCCAGAGAAUCUUCAAUUGUGAAAAGCCCUCCGUGUCCAAAUUGAAAAGAACAUUCUCGAUGCCUUGCAGCUUGUCCAACCAUAAGCAUUCAACGUUAUUGAUGCCCUGCAAUUUCAUGGAGCAAAUGUCCAUAAAAUCAAGCUUGAGCUUCAAUGCUCUUGAAAUCUUACGAUCUCUGUCGAUCAAAAAGUGCUGCCGACUUUUAAACCAAUUUUGUCCAGCAAUCAUGGGAUGUGUGAAUAACCCAUUUCCAAUAUGUAUUUUGAACCUUUCGAGCUUUCUGGCCAAAAAGCCUUCUGGUAACAUACUCUCAUUUUUUACAUCAAUUUCUAGAGUGGUUAGCCGAGGUAAAUGCAUCAAUUCAUCAAGGCUAGCAUUACUUCUUUUGCUGUUGGCUCUUUCAACCUCCCAUUCAAUGGAGCAAUUACCCAUAUACAAUUCUUCUAAUCGGAUUAAGCUUGAUAUGACAUUUGGGGCAAUAACUUUCAGACGGAAACAGUCUGUUAAAUCUAACAGCCUUAGCUUAGUCAGUUGACCCAGUGCUUUAGGCAACUCUACAAUAUCAGAUUGCAAAAAGCUGAGGAUUUCUAGAUUUUCCAACUUUCCAAUAAUGGCUAUGUCUAUGCCUCCCAAAAUGCCUUGAUUAAGACAGAGUGCCUGAAGAUUUACUAGAAGACCAAUUGAAGAUGGCAAUGACAAUAACCGCAUUCCAGUAAAAUCCAAAACCCGAAGCUUUUUCGUCCUUUUGAAGAAGUUCUCAGGAAUAUUAGGCACAGCAAAAGAGUUCUUGGGAGACAUGAGUAGAAGUUCAAGUUGUAGAGAUUCGGACCCAUCAGGAAUGUCAUUAAUAAUACUAUCUUUAAAAGAAAUUGCAAAAUAUUUUUUUAAUUCAUCUGCAUUUGGCCAUUUCCAAUCAUCCUCAUUUCUCACCACAAAUCCAAUUUUGUCACGACAUGCAAUUGAAAUGGCAACAUCGCGAACAACGUCGUGCAUAGAAAAGUAUUUACUGCCACCAUCCUCAAGCAACAAACAAGAGUCUCUUAGUUGAUGGACCCAUGCAUGUAAUUUGUUAUGUGCAUCUUCUAGCUUAUGGACACUUUUAAAUACACCCAAGCCCAUGCUAUAUUUGAACAAGUCCAUAAUUGGUGCUGGCGUAAUAAGACUACACAGUAAAAAAGUUUUCUUGAGUUGCUCACCUCUUAAGUACUUGUAACUCAGCUCAAUUGUUGAGUAUGCCUCUGCUGGUACUCCUUCGUCGAAGCUUGCCUCUGAAGGCGUUUGGAGUUCUUGCAAGGCAUUCUUCCACACAGGCAGCUCUUUUUUUCUCAGUGCCUUUGCUACUGUGGUUAGGGCAAUAGGCAAACCUCCGCAUGCCUUGGCUACACUUGUUGCUGUAGAUUCUAAUUCACGAUUUUCCACAUAAUCACCUGCCAUUAUCUUGAACAAUCUCCAGGCUUCUUGUUCAUUUAAAAUGCCAAUCGAGAAGUUUUUUUCAGAUUCCAUCCUUAACAGCACAUCGAGAUCUCUUGUUGUGAAUAAUAAUUUGCAUCCUCUGUGCUCAACUCCAAAAGGAAUUCCAAUAGUCCCCAAAUCAAGAGGUUUCCAGAUGUUAUCCAGAAUCACAAGGAUCUUCUUCUCAUUCUUCAAUCUUUCAUAUAGUCUACUAGCUCUUCUAGACUCAGCUUCCUCGGACAACUGUAGGCCUAACGUUUCCGCAAUUUCCUCUUGGAUCUUUUU